UAUCCUUGAGGGAAAGCCCCACAACUGACAAAAAUAAAUACAACAAAACACAACCAAUUAAAUGUGUUAUGUGAUAAAUCAUGCACAGUGGAGAAAUUAAA